UGAGCAGCGGAGGAGGGUGUGGAUAGAGAGAGACACAGCAGGUCUUACAAGUGGACGCCCUUUAAACUGACGUCCAUAGGCACAGUCAGGCAAUUUCUGGCGCCAACACUGCAAAUAAGUGUUAUAGGCCUAUUGUGGAGUUUUUGAUCACAAGUUAUUUGACUUUUGGCAUCUAUAUUUAAUCAUCCUCUAUCUUGUUUCAUUUCAUUGCAUUUUAUUUUCAUUUCAUUUAUCCGAAUACAACAUCUACCUUAUUCUCUUAAUAUGCACAUAAUCAGCACACCGAUAGAAUAUUAUUAUUUCGUAAGUUUCUUUUAUUACUGUUAUUUUAUUCAUAAUAUUUUUUAUUAAUAUUAUUGUAAUGUUUAUUUUUGUAUUUUUUAUAUGAGGCCUUUCUUUUAUUUUUAUUAAUUUUUAUUACUAUUAUUUUAUUAUUGUUAUUGCGUUAGGAAUCACGUAAAUUUCGUAGACGCCAUUAGUCAAAUUUCAAUAAAUAAAUAUAAAAAAACAGUUUAAAUUUUAUACUUGCCAACUGGAGUCUUUCUACGUUUGCACCAUUUUAUCCUCCUUGACGUGCUGAUUUGAUGAACGCCAUCGCGGCUUCGAGCAUCCAAGCAUCAAUCAUAGUAAGAACUAACAUGUGCUGAAACCAAUAAGCUAUUAUAUAGAUACCUAUAUAGUACCUUUUUGGUUAAAAUGUGAUGUUUCUUCCAUACUAACACACAGGGUUAGACAUUAGGCUUUGCCUUUUGAGAGCAACGAAGCUAAUAAUUAACAGAUAUCCUAAUACCGUAUAGACACUUUUAGAGAUUUUAUAUUGAAAACUAGGUUAAUGGUUAUCGUAUGAUACAGAAUUGCAAAAGAUGAACCAUGGAUAAUCUGACAAGAACAUUAGAUCAUAUCCAGCAACAUUUGGACAUAUCAUUAUUUAUCAGAUAAGCAGCAUCAAUUCGAAUAUUUAUGAAUAUGUAUGUAUAUGCAAAUUCAACUAACACUUAAGCAAACAGUUGUUGUUGUUGUUCAAUUAUGUUGAUUAUAUGCAAAUUUGACGGAACCGCAGGUAAGUUACUAACACAGCAAGACAUCGCCUCGAGCACCCAAGCAUCAAACCAAGUAAGAGAACUAAUCAAUAUAGGAUUGUUUGUGUAGUCAAAACAAUCAUACUAAUAUCGUAUUAACCCAUUACCCAUCUUGUAAACCACUUAAUUUAAAUCAUGGUAUUUUUUAUUAUUUUAUUUUAGUAUGAAAAACCUGAGCACACAAGUGCUGUGCUGCUGGCGAUGAGAUAAAACGAUGAUAGGUAAGGAACGCAAGCCGUGCAAAAAACGAUUGUUGUGCCCACCAAUCGUUGGACUUUAUUUGUGCCGAUAGUGGAUUGUAUUUGAUAAUGGUAGCUGGUGUUGCCUCAGCAAGUCUUCAGUUGUAUCCCUGUGAAAUUGUUGCAAUAAAUGUGUACAGCUGUACAAACAAGCUUGUGUUGACUCUUUUUCUUUGUAUCUGUGUCUCUUUCUAAUCACUUUAAUGGUCAGCCCUCUAUACCAAACAUUGUAUCCCUAUGAAUUUGUUUCAAUAAAUUUGUGCAUCAAAACAUACGUGUUUGACUUUCUUUGUCUUGUAAAACGAUAGUAAAUGAAAUACAUUUACCAUUGUUGAACUUUAGUUUAUGUAAAUAAAAAAUUAAAAAUACAUGACUCCUCUGUGUAGCUUAACAAUAAUGCAUUAAUAUUUUUACAGAUGCAUGAAUGCAAUGUUUAUAUCUAAUAGUAUGUUUUUCCUUUCAGAAAUAUUAACUUGUCCACAGACAGUAUUAAGGCGACAAAUACCAUGUGUAUCAAGGUAUUUGUCGCCUAUGCAUGUGUGCGGAAUAAAUAAAUAUAUUCUUUCAAUAAUUAUUUUAUAACAUUAAAGUUUAUUUCAUUUCAGAAAAAAAUCUGGUGAUCUUGAUAUUGAUGCUUGCGGAAAUAUUUUAACAUACUGAACAUACAUACUGGCUGGUGGUGAUACUUCUGCCGACGGAUAAUUAUCGACCUGAAAUGAAAAAAUAAAUUAAUGACUGUAACGAUGGUGAUGGUGAUGAUGAUGAUGAUAGCGAUGACUAUAGUAAUGAUUAAUUACAUGAUUUGUGACUAUGACGACAGAGUUGACAACUCAUACAAAGACCUGCUGUAAUAGGCAGAAAAUACCGAUGAUGAACGAUAACGAAAUGGUGUACCUAAACUUACAAUGGUAAGUUUUUUAAGAUGAUGUCUGAACGUGUGAAAGUGUCUAAAGUGACUUGGUUGAGGUAAAGUGAGUGAAAUGAACCUCUGGGUCUAUAAUACGCUAUGCAUACAUCUAUACAUUUGUGCUUUCAUUUCAGAAAAAUCAGUUUUUGAUAAUGCUUCCAAAUAAACCACAUCAAUUUGCUAUGUAAACUCGUGUUUCUUCUGGUGAACAACAUUAAUAUCGACAUAAAGUGAGUACGAUGGCAGCUGUGAGGAUGAUGUUGAUGAUACUGAUGAUAAAGAUGGUUGAAAUGGUAGACCUGUAUUUGCAAAGGUAAGUUUGAAUGUUUGGGGUUUGUGAAAUUUUCUACUAAUAUUUUUAAUCAUUAUUAUAGUUUCUGUAUUACCAAUUUUGUUUUAUUUAUCAUUCUCAUGAAAUGUUUUUUUUUUCUAGUUAUCUUGUACUUUAAUUAAUUGCCAUCUAUGCAUGUGUGCCGAAUAAGUAAGUAUAUUCCUUAUGUUUGUCUACUCCUUAAGAUGCCCUUUCGACACAUGUUUCAUAACAUUUAAUUUCAUUCAUUUCAGAAUAAGAAGCCUCGUGAUUUUGAUAACGAUGCUUGCGAAAUAUGCUAUGUACAUACUGAUUGGCUGUUGGUGGUGGUUCUUCUGCCGAUGGAUAAUGUAUCAACUUGAAAUGAAAAAAAUGACAAUGAUAAUGAUGAUUGUGAUGAUGAUUAUGAUAGCGAUAUAUGCUAUGCAGACUCAUUUAUAUUGACAUGUAUUGAACAUUGAACAAAUAACGACGAUGACAAUAACAUGACAAAUGAUUAAUUGGUUUUUGACUCUUCACUUUGCUAAUGUUCCUAUCAUGACCCAAAAUAUGGACUGUAAAGUUUGGGUGAUUCCUACCAUCUUGGUGGGUUUGAAAAAUGAUGUGAAAAGAACCUAAUGCUAUUAGGCUAUGCAUAAAUCUAUACUUUAUGUUUCAGAAAAAAAAAGACUUUGAUGAUGCGUGUGAAUUUCCGCAUAGAACACAACAACUUGCUAAGUAGACUCGUGCUUUUUCUUAUGAUGGAAAACUAUGGACAUAAAAGUGAGGACGAUGAUAACGAUGAUGCGGAUAAUGAGGAUGAAAUAUCUUGUACUUUAUGAAUUGCUACCGAUGCAUGUGCGCAGAAUAAAUAGGUAUAUUCCUUAUGUUUGGCUACUCCUUGGGAUGCCCCUUUAAUACAUAUUUUAUAACUUUAACUUUAUUUCAUUUCAGAAUAAAAAGCCUGGUGAUUUCGGUAAUGAUGCUUGCGGAGGUAGGCUACUGGUCGUGAUGGUGGUGGUGGUGCCUUUGCCAAUGGAUAAUAUAUCGACUUGAAAUGGAGGAAAUGGACAGUGACGAUGAUGAUAAUGAUGAGUGGUGAUGAUGAUGAAUACUGUACUACGAUAUAUGCUAUGCAGACUCGUUCAUAUCGACAUGAAUUGAACAUUUAAUGAAUAGCCUUAACGACGAUUACGGUAAAGAGUAUGUUGUUGCUGAUAAAGAUGGCGAUAGAUGUUAAUACGAUAACGGCAAUGAUGAUCACUUACUUGAUUAAUUGGAGGCUCUUUACUUUCAGAUUAAAAAGCCUGGUGAUUUUGACAAUGAUGCUUGCGGAAAUAGGCUACGUACAUACGGAUUGGCUGGUGGUGGUGGUGCUUCUGCCAAUGGAUAGUGUAUCGACUUGAAAUAAAGGAAAUAGAGAUGUUAAUACGAUAACGACAAUGGUGAUUAAUUGGUAUUAGACUCUUUACUUUGCUAAUGUUCGCAUCAUAGUUCAAAGUUUGGGAGGUUCCUGCAGUAAGUUUUAAAAAAAAAAAUAUUUUGAAGAUGUGUGUGAAUUUCCGCAUAGAUCGCAACACUUUGCUAUGUAGACUCGUGCUUCCUCUGAUUAAAAACUAUCAACAUAAAAAAUAAAAAGCAUGUUGAUUUUGAUAAUAAUGCUUCCAGAAAUAUGCUACACUAAAUCACGUCAAUGUGCUUCUUCUGAUGGUGAAUAUCAUGAUAAUAUGAGGUGAUAACUAUAACGAAGAUCAUGUUAUAUAGGCCUAAUGACAACGUUGGUUAUGAUGAAAUGGUACCGUAGACCUGUACUUGGAAAGUGGUUGAUAUGCAAAGCCUAAUACUUGUGAACUGUCGACUCAAACCUGACUGAAACUGCUGUGUGCGAUCGAGUUAAAUGAAAUAGCUGUGGACAUUGAUGAUAAUAAGGCACAAGCGUCAAGGAUAUGCCAAACAUCCUCAUGAACACCAAUCAUGUUCACUAUGAAUCCUUCUUUUCAAAAUAACGUUGAAUGUUUUACUAUAUUUUCGUUUGGAACCGUGGUACCAGCACCCAGCAAGCGAAUUUGUCUGGUUCAGGAUAAUAUGAGAUGUAUUGAGCCAAUUUGGUCGAUUUAAUUUAGAGCUGUCGAGUAUGUUUGCAAGGAACAUCCUCCUCGGACAAUAGGUUUCUAUAAAAUCGGACAGUUGGUCUGAAUUGUACUUGAAUUAAUCAUUUACCUGGUAUUGGUAAACUUGGGACUAAGAUAUAUAUGUUUAGGCCUACUUGUCAUUGCAGUUGGUAACUAAAUAUAAAAAAUGGGCGAUAUAAUAAUAUUAUUAAUAAUAAUUUUUAAAAAAUACGCCUACAAUUUAAUUUAACAUUACAAUAUUCAUCAAUACAAUAUUGCUGCUUUCUCAUUUUGCAUUUUUUGUCAUUGUACAUGUUGGUGGUGUUUGUUUUGUACAUUACGCUUUCAUCAUUUCAUUUAACCCUAACUAAUCCACCCUCUCUCAUAUCUUACUCAGGUUAGCCUAUAGGUUGUAAUUAAGUCAGGUUAGCUUAGUAGAUAGGUCUUUUGCUUAAGGUGUAGACUAAGUACAGUAUUAGCUAGGUUUAAAAUAUAGUUUUUCCUUCCUAAAUGAGAGAGGAAUGGGCUAUACAUUUAAGCUCCAUUACUUCAUUAUCAAUUCAUAACUAAUAUUGUAUCAUUGUGUAUCAGGCCAUUGUAUUUCCUCCAUGAUCAGGCAUUGCUUCACAUUACGGACGUUUUACAAAUAAUAUUGAACAAUAAAAGCUACAAUAUAAAAUAAUGAGACAAAUAGUUAACAACUGCAAUGACAAGUGAUAAAAUAAUUUCUUGUAAUAAAUGUAACUUUAUUAUCAUUUGAUAUAUAUUAAAUUGUGGUAAUGUUGAUGUUGAUGCAAAUAAAGAUUAUUAAUAA
rnacentral:lncRNA from 1 species